rnacentral:rRNA from 1 species
UACGUAGGGUGCAAGCGUUAAUCGGAAUUACUGGGCGUAAAGCGUGCGCAGGCGGUUUUGUAAGUCUGUCGUGAAAUCCCUGGGCUUAACCUGGGAACUGCAUUUGUGACUGCACGGCUAGAGUGUGUCAGAGGGGGGUAGAAUUCCACGUGUAGCAGUGAAAUGCGUAGAUAUGUGGAGGAAUACCGAUGGCGAAGGCAGCCCCCUGGGAUAACACUGACGCUCAUGCACGAAAGCGUGGGGAGCAAACAGG